rnacentral:rRNA from 1 species
AUUGAACGCUGGCGGCAUGCUUUACACAUGCAAGUCGAACGGUAACAGGUUAAGCUGACGAGUGGCGAACGGGUGAGUAAUGCAUCGGAACGUGCCCGAUCGUGGGGGAUAACGCAGCGAAAGCUGCGCUAAUACCGCAUACGACCCGAGGAUGAAAGCGGGGGCCCGUAAGGCCUCGCGCGAUCGGAUAGGCCGAUGUCAGAUUAGGUAGUUGGUGGGGUAAAGGAUCACCAAGCCAACGAUCUGUAGCUGGUCUGAGAGGACGACCAGCCACACUGGGACUGAGACACGGCCCAGACUCCUACGGGAGGCAGCAGUGGGGAAUUUUGGACAAUGGGCGAAAGCCUGAUCCAGCAAUGCCGCGUGCAGGAAGAAGGCCUUCGGGUUGUAAACUGCUUUUGUACGGAGCGAAAAGGCUCUCUCUAAUACAGGGGGCUCAUGACGGUACCGUAAGAAUAAGCACCGGCUAACUACGUGCCAGCCGCCGCGGUAA